GCUUAACACAUGCAAGUCGAGCGGUAAGGCUCCUUCGGGAGUACACGAGCGGCGAACGGGUGAGUAACACGUGAGUAACCUGCCCCUUUCAUCGGAAUAACCAGUGGAAACGCUGGCUAAUGCCGAAUACGACCACCGAAGGCAUCUUCUGGUGGUGGAAAGCUCCGGCGGAGAGGGAUGGACUCGCGGCCUAUCAGCUUGUUGGUGGGGUAACGGCUCACCAAGGCAACGACGGGUAGCCGGCCUGAGAGGGUGACCGGCCACACUGGGACUGAGACACGGCCCAGACUCCUACGGGAGGCAGCAGUGGGGAAUAUUGGACAAUGGGCGAAAGCCUGAUCCAGCAACGCCGCGUGAGGGAUGACGGCCUUCGGGUUGUAAACCUCUUUCAGUAGGGACGAAGCGAAAGUGACGGUACCUACAGAAGAAGGACCGGCCAACUACGUGCCAGCAGCCGCGGUAAUACGUAGGGUCCGAGCGUUGUCCGGAAUUAUUGGGCGUAAAGGGCUCGUAGGCGGUUUGUCACGUCGGGAGUGAAAACUCAGGGCUCAACCCUGAGCGUGCUUCCGAUACGGGCAGGCUAGAGGUAUGCAGGGGAGAACGGAAUUCCUGGUGUAGCGGUGGAAUGCGCAGAUAUCAGGAGGAACACCGGUGGCGAAGGCGGUUCUCUGGGCAUUACCUGACGCUGAGGAGCGAAAGCAUGGGGAGCGAACAGGAUUAGAUACCCUGGUAGUCCAUGCCGUAAACGGUGGGCGCUAGGUGUGGGGACCUUCCACGGUCUCUGUGCCGCAGCUAACGCAUUAAGCGCCCCGCCUGGGGAGUACGGCCGCAAGGCUAAAACUCAAAGGAAUUGACGGGGGCCCGCACAAGCGGCGGAGCAUGCUGAUUAAUUCGAUGCAACGCGAAGAACCUUACCUGGGUUUGACAUAUGCCGGAAAGCCAUAGAGAUAUGGCCCCCCUUGUGGUCGG
rnacentral:rRNA from 1 species